rnacentral:rRNA from 1 species
CAGAGGGGGCAAGCGUUGUUCGGAAUUACUGGGCGUAAAGGGCGCGUAGGCGGCCUUCUAAGUCGAACGUGAAAUCCCCGGGCUCAACCCGGGAACUGCGUCCGAUACUGGAGGGCUUGAAUCCGGGAGAGGGAUGUGGAAUUCCAGGUGUAGCGGUGAAAUGCGUAGAUAUCUGGAGGAACACCGGUGGCGAAGGCGACAUCCUGGACCGGUAUUGACGCUGAGGCGCGAAAGCCAGGGGAGCAAACGGGAUUAGAUACCCCGGUAGUCCUGGCCCUAAACGAUGAAUGCUUGGUGUGGCGGGUAUCGAUCCCUGCCGUGCCGAAGCUAACGCAUUAAGCAUUCCGCCUGGGGAGUACGGUCGCAAGGCUG